rnacentral:rRNA from 1 species
UACGUAGGGGGCAAGCGUUGUCCGGAAUCAUUGGGCGUAAAGCGCGUGUAGGCGGCCCGGUAAGUCCGCUGUGAAAGUCCAGGGCUCAACCCUGGGAUGCCGGUCGAUACUGCCGGACUAGAGUUCGGAAGAGGCGAGUGGAAUUCCCGGUGUAGCGGUGAAAUGCGCAGAUAUCGGGAGGAACACCUAUGGCGAAGGCAGCUCGCUGGGACGUUACUGACGCUGGAGACGCGAAAGCGUGGGGAGCAAACAGG